CGCAUUCUUUAAUAUGCUAAUUUUACUAGCCAAUUUCCCUCCCUCCUCCUUUCAACCAGAUUUCACAGUUUGAAGGAACUUCCUUUUCCACUGCAAGCAGAGUUUGAACCUUUACAAGAAGGGAACCAUGAAGAGGAGCUUGGAGUGGGCAAGGGGGAUGCUGAUAAAGCAGCAGAGAAGACCUGAUUCAUCAAGUAUCAAUUAAUUCUGGGAUGACAUACUCAUUGUCAUCACCAACAUCAACAGAAGAGUGUGGUGAAGGUGGACGAUAAGCCUCAGGGAAUGGUGGAGGGGGGCCACAAGAAGUGGUGCAGAAGAUGGGGGGGCCACAGGAAUAGGUGCUGCCACAAGUGUAGCCUCGUUUGUAGAAGUAGUCUGUAAAAGGUCAUUUAAAGGCUUAUACAUUUCAAAAACAUGGAGAAAGGAAUAAAGCUGUCAAACAUAAUGUGAUUGCGUUCUGAAAACGAUUUACAGAAAUAAAAUGUAGCCGCAUGCAUCACUCACUAUAGAAUGUAAUCAAUGUGUAGGUCCAGAAGACUAUAGAAUGUAAUCAAUGUGUAGGUCCAGAAGACUAUAGAAUGUAAUCAAUGUGUAGGUCCAGAAGACGUUUUAAGGAUGCAUGUUGCUCUAUUUUUUAAAUAAUAUUUUCAAUAUGUAUUACAUUCAUCAAGCAGACAGUGUUGUUUUCUCCUCAAUGGUCCGUCCUAACUCUGGAGGGAACGCCAUAUCUGGAGACAGCAUUUAUGAAGCAAUCCAUUACAGUACUGCUGCGAUUGUUGCUGGAAGCACGGAGAAACAAUGAGACGGCUGAACCCAUCAAUGCCACCAUGUAUGACUAUCCUCCACCUAAAUCAGAAAAUACAGCACAGGUUGAUACAAAAGCUGAAGACACAUUAAAUACACAAACAUCACCAUCCUCCUUUACCACUUAAAUGCUGCAUCAGGUUCCUGCAGUAUAUAACAAAGCAGCAGACCAAAUAUUAAA
rnacentral:lncRNA from 1 species